GAGCUGAGUGACUGGACAUUGCAUGAGCUUCUCCCCCGUGAACUUGAUUGCAGCAUGAGGCCAUUUAUAGCGGGCUCCUGCUGUACUGCUGGGCUGCCUGCAGUCCCUAGGGGAUGUACACCACUUCUUGACUGGUUUCCAGGAGGCUUGUGAGUGGUAGGCACUGGAAUCACUGCUGUUAGACAGGAGUAUAUCAAGGGGAUGUCAUCUCUGCAAGGUGCCUGAUUCUCUUCUAACCAUCACUGCCAAGAGUCACUACUGGGACAGUCAGACCAGCUCCUGCUGCAGAGAAGGCAGAAACAGGUGUGAUCCCUGCCUGGCUGCCACCAUUUAAGCUGGCUACAAAAAUUCUAGGAACUGUAGGUGAGGAGCUACAUCCUUUCCUCUAUUUGAACAACAUCUGAUAUUUUGGGAUACUGACUGUACAACAUCAUCAGCACAAGUUUUGACAGCUUAAUGCAUUUCCUCCUCCUCUCCCAGUCAAUCAAUUUUCACUUGUUCAGUAUCAUUUCUCUGUUGUUUCAUUCAAUCUCAAGUCAAACAAGAAGGCAAACUUUCAUAAACCUGCAAAGGACCAUUAAAAAAAAGCCACACUGGCAACAUUGGCAACAAGAACUCCACAGCUUACGGCAACAGUUCUUUUCCAAAAAGAACAUUGGUGAAAAAAGAGUAUUCCAAGAGUAGGUAAUUCUUCAUUACUGACCUACUACUGUAACAGGUCAGAGUGAUUUAAACCAGAAAAGCACUAGUGUGGAAUGUGGAAUAUUAAAAUCAUUCAGUAGUUACAAAGACAGGAGCUGUUGCCCUGUACUGCUUUCUCACUGUGUGUACUGGCACAUCUGAGUUGGGUUGCUUUUUUUUUCCGUUGUCUUUACAAUAGGCAUUUCAGUUUGAAGGGUGUGUAGGAAAGUGAACUUUCAAAAUGUUAGUCAUCUGAAAAGUUACAGUAUUUUACUUUCAACAGGAUGUGAAGAAAAGUUUUCCAGAAUGUAGAUUCAGUUACACAGGGACCAAAAGGGACUCAUCUGUAAGAGAAUGAUGUGGGCAUUCCAGUUAGCCAGAAAUCCCAUUAAGGACCCCUGUAAAAGAUACUACUUUUGAUAUGAUUAAUGAAAUAAUCAUUGGAAAUCCUGUGAAUUAUGUGCAGUGUUUCUUAUUCAAAGCAGAGUAUGAUUCCCAGUGUUGACUUUAAGGUACACAACACUAAAACCUCAAGGAGAAAUGUGGUCUUUUCCCACAUUUGCCCACCAACUAUUAGUUUUGUCUCUGUUAUAAUUAAAAUGAUGCAUGUGAAGACCUUUAUCAUCAACACAAUUUUUGUUCUUUCCACUCCUAAAAUUUCAAGUGGAAAAGGAAAGCUUAUAUUUACUUUUUCAAUUUAAUUCUUAAUAUAGAGAUUUCUUUAUUUGAAGCAUUCCCAUUUUCUGAGCUUUAUAGAUCUAUUAAUCAAUAUUUAUAGAAUUCAACCCACUAAAAAUAGAGAGAAAAAAAAAGGGGAUGUAUGGGAAGUAGCUAGGAAAGAAGAGGAUAAAGAUGCACAGCACUGUGAUCCCAAGAGCUCUAUGCUUUGCCAAGCACCAUUAGCAGACUUUUUCAUAGCAGGACUUUGCUACCUAGUGGAAAAUCAAUUGCUUUGUUUUUAGCCAAGGUUCCAGUCUAGAAGGAAUCACACUUUAAUUUAGAAUUCUCUGAUUUGUUAUCUCUUCUGAGCUAAAACAUAAACUUUGCAAUGAUGUAAAAAAUAAUAACUGCUAUUCUGUACCACUGAUAUAUCAGAGAGAAAAAAGCAGUCCCUCAGCGCAUACAAGCAGAAGUCUCUGCUCAAAUAUUUGCCUGUUUGCAAACAUUG